rnacentral:lncRNA from 1 species
UACCCCAUUUCGUUUUCGAGAAUGUAAAGCGACCCUCAGAGAACCGCAGAUACAGCCCGGGCAGAGCGUCUCCCUGCAGAGCAGCCAGGGACUCAGGCUGCUACUUCAACACUUCCAACCCGUCUUCUUCAAAACAGCUGCGAGACAGAGCCAAAAGCUCUUGAGAGUCAAGGUCAGCCUUAGAUAAUGGCCUGGAGGUGAAGCUCCUCACCUUGGCAAAGAGAAGAAUUACGGCCUCUCUCCCUCCUGUCCUCCGCUGAUGGCCAGAGGAGACAGAUAAUAUUUACUAUUUUGUCCUCACAAACCACGGCAGAGAUGCUGACCAUAUAUUUGAAGAGCAGGGACUUAAUAUUUUGAGAUGGGAUGUUGGGCCAGAAAACAGUGGACCGUCUGUUCUUAUUAAUUUAAGUGUGACAGCCGAACCUUCUCCGCCUCCUGAGGAGUACAGUGUCACACCAGCAAAAUGUCUCGGUAGGGAGCAAGGCCAUCGUGAACACCGGGAAGAAUUAGUUAUGCUGCUUGCACCGGACAAAAGAGCCGGGAGCAGUGGGGAUAAGGGUGAGUCUCGCGUGCAUGCCCCCUUGGCUGGGUGUGGACGGCAACAACAGCUGCGUCAGCCUGCAGGCCUAGUGCUGCGAGAGACACAGGUGUUGUUGAAGCAGAAAUCUUCUACAACAACAUGGGAAUGGCAGAGUUGAGUUCUUUAGUUAUGCAAAGGUCCUCUGAAAAAAGCUGGAGAACUGUGGCUCUAAACCAGAGUUUCCAAGGUGAGUUCAGGGUCUGUGUCCCUGGGGCAGGCAGGGGGUGGUGGGUUAGCUUCAGGAAUUUUCCAUUGUCAUCUGGACCACACUGUACUUGAACUUGCAGGCUGUGAUGCUGUCUUUGAUGCUUGUAUUCCAGAAUACUUUCAAGACUUUUAAGGUCUACCUCACUUCCUCAUCGCAGUAGCUGUCAUGAUGCCUGACGCAAAGUAGGUACAAGAUAAAGAUUUGGUAUUGGAGAAAGAAGAUUCCACAUGCAAAAAGAUUCCAUAGUCUAGUAGAUUUGGAACUAGAUAAAGUCUUCCUUUUUGAGACCACUGGAUAAAUACAGACAAAAGCACAAUGAUUGUUUUGGCUACUUGGUUAGUCUCACUGAAGAACUUCUCAGAACCUUUAAUAGGCAGUGUGCAUUUUUUUUGGUCCAAACCAGGCCUACCAUGUGAUGAUCCCCAAGUCAACUGACUGUGUGACUCCUGCUCCCUACGAUGCUUUUUGGUGUUCUAAGGGACCAGGUGGUAGGAAAACCAGGAGAAACUGCCUGCCUGACUGUUGUCCUGUAAGGGACCCAUCUCCAAGCCAGCUGCUGGGAAGGCACCACAUUACUCAGCCCAUAGAUGUUUCCAUUGCUCUUAA